rnacentral:rRNA from 1 species
GACGAAUGCUGGCGGCGUGCUUAACACAUGCAAGUCGAACGGUGAACAGGAGCUUGCUCCUGGGAUCAGUGGCGAACGGGUGAGUAACACGUGGGCAACCUGCCCCUCACUCUGGGAUAACUCCGGGAAACCGGGGCUAAUACCGGAUACGACCUGGAGCGACAUCUCUCCAGGUGGAAAGAACUUCGGUGAGGGAUGGGCCCGCGGCCUAUCAGCUAGUUGGUGGGGUAACGGCCUACCAAGGCGACGACGGGUAGCCGGCCUGAGAGGGCGACCGGCCACACUGGGACUGAGACACGGCCCAGACUCCUACGGGAGGCAGCAGUGGGGAAUAUUGCGCAAUGGGCGAAAGCCUGACGCAGCGACGCCGCGUGAGGGACGACGGCCUUCGGGUUGUAAACCUCUUUCAGCAGGGACGAAGCGAAAGUGACGGUACCUGCAGAAGAAGCACCGGCUAACUACGUGCCAGCCGCCGCCGCAGUAA